CAAAGAAUUACAGCCACCACACGACCUGUUCUCCCCCAAAUCGAAGCCUCCCUAGACCUCCUCCUCGACCGCCGCCGCCGCCGCCGCUGCCCCCUCUGCCAUUGACCUUGCCCUCCACCACCACCCCCUCGAUUGACCUGUGCGACCCCAUCAGGAUCUAUGGCGGCAGUGCUUGGAUCUCGGCGUCGCCUCCGUCGAGAUGCCUCUGAUGUGCGAGGUCGUCGUCGCCUCCCUCCCUUCGACACCACCACCAGAACUGGUCGACGAUGCCGGACGCCUCCAUCUCUUCUUUACGGUCCAUCACGCCGACGAGCAUCGGCGGACUCCCCACCAUGGCUUCCUCCCCGCCAACGGCGAGCGUGGUGUCCCAUCUCUACUAUGCUGGUACAGUACUUUCCUUAGAUCCAUCUUGGUUGAAACCCGAUGCAGGUGAGAUCUUCCUUACCAAGGUUGUUAAUCUUUUCUUCUUUGCUCGAUGAGAACUCAUGGUGGCAGAUUUCACCUUCCACCGAGUUACUACUGCUCGUCUUCCUUAUUGUAUUUUUCCUUUUCCUACCAAAUUGAUGCAGGUGCUAUUAGUGAAAGGAUUGGGGACUGGUUCUAGUAGUGGUUGGUUUGUUCGAGGAAUUCUUGGUGCUCGUGAUUUGUAAAGGGUUUCAGCCAGGUACAUGGAUCAGUCUUUAUUUAUUCAGGUUCAGACAUUGCGCAACUGAAGACUGUGUGUACUAGUCGAAGGCACGAGCUAUGAACGUGUUCUUCACUCACUCAUUCGUUUAUUUGAGCAACAUUUAUUGUCAGACGGGAGUAGUAUGUAUGUUGUUGAGUGUUAAAUCCCGUCCAAAGGAUUGGCAAGUUGCUGCUUGGAAACUUGGUAGAUACAAACGAUUAGUGCUCUGUACAAGCUAGUUGUUUACUGAGUAGAAGGAAGGUUACUCUACUGCUUGAAUGUACCAAUGAAGAUGCUCUUCACAACUCUAAUCCUUGGUGCCAAUGGGUAUUCUUCCAUUUACUAUGAUUAAGUGCUCUUUGUGCUAAUUCUGGAUGUUAUAAAAAAUGAACUUUGGCUAAUGAACACGUAGUUGGAAUGAACAAGUACCCUUGUUUAUCUCCAUUGAUCGAUUGAUGUGAGAUCAUUUAGUUCAUUCGUCAUCACACACAUAUACUUGUACAUGUAAGAAAAGCAAUCAGAUAGAGAAUCUCUUUCUGUCUCUUCUUUGUUUGCUACAAAUAUAGACUGAAAGUGGAGUAGUUCUUCUAGAGUUUAAAGAUUUGAACUUGCAAAAGUGUUAGUUCUCUGAUAUGAAGUUUAUUAUUUAUGUUUUGUGAAGGUUGUUGUCUGAAUGUGAUAUACCCAUAUAUUAUAUAAAGAACAAGUUCAGAUCGGUAUAAAAAAUUAUGCUUAAACUUUCAUGCCAUCUAAUAGAUAAUAGUCUAUGUAUACUUUUCAACGUCAUAAGCAUUGUAGUAACUACAUUGCCACAGGAAAUUAGAUAUUGUGAUCUAUCUUUCAUACCUAUAUACAUAUUAUGCUUGGACGUGUGUUGUUUGUGCGAAAGGAAACAUUUAGUAUUUUGUAAUGCUUGAACUGAAGGUAGUCUCUACUUAAAUAUUUCUCCAUUUAAUCAAGUAAGAACAGUUCUUCAGAACAUUUUAUCCUUUUAAUCUUCAGACAUCUUGACAGGAAGCACCAGGGAAUGUUUGCAGUUUCAAUUUAUAUUGUACGUAAAGGACUGUAGAUAUGUUCUCUGCCAGUCAAAACUUCUAAAUGAUCUAUGCACUAUGGCAGUGCCGCAGUGGAUACUUCUAAAUGACUGCACACAUGUUUUAUUAAGUCUUAUCAGUAUAUGGAGUUCAAUAAUCUUUUGGUGCUAAACAAGUGGAUGCUAUAACUGAAUACUAAAUCAGUAAAACACUGUAGGAGUUUUACAAGCAAGCUUUGGGUAAAAAGAUUUUUGUAUUGUGCUGUUUAUUCCCAUUGGUCGAUCGAUGUGAGAUCAUCUAGUUCAACUGUCAUCACGCACAUAUACAGUUACAUGGAAGAAAAAUAACUAGCUAGAGAACUUAUUUAUGCCUCCUUUUGUUUUGCUGCAAAGACAGACUGAAAGUGGAGUACUCUUCUAGAGUUUAAUUGUUAUAACAUGCUGCUUUUAUAAGGUUGCAAUCUUCAAUCUAGUUUUAGUCAAUAAGUUAUUGUUUCUUAAGAAUACAUAAAGAAUGGAUUCUUAUAUGUUCCAUGUAUUAUGUUAGGGCAAGUAAUUAUCAGCUGAGCAAAUGCUACAACGUGCUAGGAGGAGAAGUUCGAAUGGAGGCAGAGAGUACACUUGGAAAUAGAAUGGAAAAAGGAAGAGGAGAUAAUGUUGAAGCACACGAGCAAGAGGCUAGCAGAAGUUAAAGCAAUACACUAUAAGCAUUUUGAAUGAUUAGGGCCUUGUGUUGUUGGGAACAUUACAACCAUGGGGAAAGCUAAUUUUAGGAUUUUUUUUUGAAACUAUGAUGAUUUUUAUAGCAAAUUCGAAAACUAUACACCCUAAUGGAGAAAAAUCAAAAGUAUCACCCCGUCGGCCUCGUGUUGACCGAAAAGGGACUUUUCGGCCCCGUGUUGGCCGAAGAGGUACUUUUUGGCCAACCGUUGGCCAAAAAGUACUUUUCGGCCAACAGUUGGCCAAAGAGUCCCUCUUCAGCCAACAGUUGCUCUACUUUUUAAAAAAUUCAUAUCAAAUAGGAUUUUUAGUAUUUUAAUUUGAUUCUUUCUGCAUUAGAUUAGAAAAUUUUAUGAAGUUUCUGUAGAUAUCAAGUUUGACUAGAUUUGUAAGUUUGAAUUUGAAUUUUCAUGAAUUUUCUUAAAUCACUAGAUUGCCUAUAAUUUGAGGUAGGAGUAUUCUUUUUAGAUGAUUCUUUUUGCUACUGGUUCUUUGUGAAUUUGUUUAUCAGUAGUAAUUAAUUGGUGGCCGAAAAGUCCCUUUUCAGCCAACAGGAGGCCGACGGGAUGAUACUUUUGAUUUUUCUCCAUUAGGGUGUAUAGUUUCCGAAUUUGCUAUAAAAAUCAUCAUAGUUUCAAAAAAAAGUCUAAUUUUAGUUGCUAGUUUAGCAUAGAAGCUACUAUAUGCUCAUUUUGGUCGUGUGUCGCGUCCAAAAACAUAUGUAAUUUUCCUUAAAUGCACAACACCCUUAUAUAUAGGCGUUUCUAGAAACAUAUGUAUUUGGUAGUUAAUUUUAUUGAAUGAAGUUAAG